GGAGAUAAGUUGAAACUUAGACCAUCAGAUUCCAAUAUACAGCAAUUGCCGAAUCAUAUUGGUAUUAAAACAUUCCAGCUUGGAAUAGAACUUGGACUUACGGUUGUUCAGAUGCAGCAGAUUGAAAACAACCAUGUGACAAAUCUUCGUAGCCAAACAGAGGAGGUCCUUAACAAAUGGAGGAGACUUCCAGAAGCUACAUAUGAAGUUUUAGAACGGGCUCUUCAUCGCCUUCACUUGUCUCGAGUUUUAUCAUUCUUAACAUAUGAAGAAGGAUUAGAGGAACAAGUGGAAGUAGGAAUAGAGGAGGAAGUGGAAGUAAGAUUAAAAGAGGAAGUGGCAGAGAGAAUCAUACACGACAUACAAAUCAGUCAGAUUUUAGAUUAUAUGAUGUCACAUUUGGUAAUAUCAUCAGAUGACAGACGAAGCAUUGAACAACCUGUCAGACAAGAUGAUCAGAAUAAAGCAUUACUUGAAGUAGUGAACAAGAGGGGAGAGCCUACCUAUUCUGUGUUUGUUGAUGCACUACGAACAAGUGGAUACACAGAUCUAGCAAAUGAUUUGAAAUGUGAAUCACAUGAAGAAGCCUCAAGUGCAGCAUUAGUAUAUACUGAAAACAUGGAAAAUAAAGGGUUGUCAAAUUGGACUGUUCCGAUGUAUAAAGUUCGUCUACAAAAGAACUACUCAAACAUCAUUGACAGUAUACAGCAUGAGAAAAUAGUCGAUCAUCUGAUAUCACGUGAUGUGUUGACCAUAGCUGAUAGUCAAAUGAUAAAUGCUUGUCCAGCACAAAUACAAAAGAACAGGAAAUUAAUGGACAUACUUUUGCAUGAAAGUGAACAUGAAUUUAUUGAAUUUAUCAAAGCUCUCCGAGAAGACUCUGUAUAUGCAGAACUGGCAGAUGAAAUAGAAAACACAACAGUCGCAAGCAGAGAUAUAUCAACCAUUAAGAGUUGCUUCAAAUGAACUGAAGGAGAAGACAAGAUAAAAUACCUGAAACAAAAACCACAAAAUAUCGUCAAAGUCUUUUUUGUCAACAUCUCACCAUGAACAGAGAAGAUGAUGAUUGGAAGAAGACGUACAUAAAUUAACCAAAUCAAUAUAACCUUAUUAAAUUUGGAUCUAUAUACAUGUACUACCCAUUCAUUAUUUCAUUUUACCCCAAUAUUUGUAUCCUAAUAUUAUGUAUUUUUGGUUAACAACUGAUAAUAGGAAAAUUUGAAAUAUUUAUUUAUAAUAGCUAUAAUGUCGAGCUCUCAUGGUAGAAUUUAAAAGGUAUUUUAAUUAGUUGCUAAUUUUUUAUAAUAGUGUUUACCUGUAUAUUUAUGUUACCUGUAACUUAUCAUAUUGACCAAAAUUCUGGGAAGAGUAUAUUUUUUAUUGUAGUCAUUUGUUUUUUGUUUUUUUUUAUAUUUGCAAAGAUCAUUUAAAAUUUAUUUCAGUUUGUAAGUUAUUGAAUUUCAGCUUUAAGGUUUAUGAAAUUAGAUUAUUUAAGUGUAGUUAUAUAACAUAACAUAUAUCAAAUGUGAAGUUUUCGGGCAGAAUUAAUAGACAUGUUAGCAGUAUGUCUGAUACCUAAGAAAGCCAACAGAUGCAAGCGACUUAAAAUCAAACAUGAAUACCAGUGAUGUUUGACCUUUCCACAGAUAGUGUGGCAGAAACCUAAUACUGUGAAGGACAUAGACACUAAGGUGUUGAUAGUAUGACCGAAACUGUUUACUGUUAUAUUUAAACCUUUUACAAUGAAGGUUACAAUACAUACUCUAAGGUGCAGAUAGCUUGGCAGAAGAAAAAAUCUUCCAAGGAGAGAACUUAUUGUUUAAUGCUAUAUUCAGUUUAAAUUAAUACGAGCCAGUGUUAUCCCUUUGUGUCCUUUCUGAAACUAUUGGACCAUGCAAUUCGAUCCAAAAUCGGUAGAAAUUAUUUAGGAAAGGUCUUGUUUAAUGUUCUCUUUUAUGCUGUUUAAAUCAAAUGAAAAGAAUGUCUGCCUUCGGAAAUCUUAGACAGCAGGGGAUGUACGGCAAAUUUUGAUCGGGGGAUUUUUUCAUUAUUCUUCUCUGAGUGUACAAAGGAAUUGUUUUUUAUCUGUCAGAAAUUAAUCAUGUGAAAAGCAUUUGUUAAUGAUCAUUAUUUGUUAUAUAUCAGAUGGCAAACGUGAAACCAUUGGUUGUACAGUACACAAAUCUGUCAAAUCCUACACCUGCUGUAAAUAUUUCAACAAGAACCUGACAGGAAGUUGUGUGUUCUUGUGUCUCAAUCUUUAGCAUGUUAUGUUGUGUAUUAGGACAUAUUCAGUUUUCUUGCGGUUUAUAUUUUUUGUAGUGGUGUUGUCAGUUUGACUACGACGUGUGUGAUUUUAAUGUUUCCUUGGUAUAUUUUGACGCUUUGUAUUGCAUGGUUCUCUAGAAAUGAUGUCCAUUUGAUGAGAUAAAGAAUUUUACCAUCAGAGGCAAUCUUCAGUUCUGAUUGAAGAAGAACAUUAACAUCAGACAAACACUUUUUAAUUCAAAUAGAUAAUACACAGCCAAAGAAGGUGUUGUUUUAUUCUUAUGGAUGACAAACUCAACCACUAGGGGUAAUCUUUUAUUUUUGAUGGAUGAAAAACUCAACCACCAAAGGAAAUUUGGAAUUCUACUGGACGAAGAAGAAUCAACAACAAGGGGCAAUUUUGUAUUCUUAUGGACGAAAAACUCAACCACCAAGGGAAAUCUUUUUAUCUCAUGAACUCAACCACCAGGGGUAAUCUUUUAUUCUUAUGAACGAAGAACUCAACCACCAGGGGCAAUAUUUUAUUCUUAUGGAUGAAGAACUUAACCAUCAGGGGCAAUCUUUAGAGUUCGUCGACGAAGACUUUGACACCGGAGGCACAUUUUAAUUCUAAAAGACAACACCACCACAUGCAAUUUUUACUUCUAUUGCUGAAAAGUUAGGCUACUAGAUGCACUUUUUUAUUCUAAAUGAUUAAAAACAAGACAACCAGAGGCUAUUUGUUAUUUUAUUGCCGACAAACAAGACCACCAGAUGCAACUUUUAUUUCUAUUAACUGAUGAAGAACUCACCCAACUGAUGCGAAAUUCAGGUUUAUUGCUUAUUUUGUGUGCGUUUUUACAUGUCUCUUUGACAAAUAUCUUAUAUUGCAACCAUUGUAAAUAGGAGCGUGAACUAAAUAAUAUUGUAUAUAUAUUUUGCAGUAUAUUUUGUUUUUGUUACACAUGAAUUACAUUGUCACUUUACUUGGUGCUUAUUAAUAGACGUAGCUUUUUUGCAACUAACACAUGUAACAUUUAUCAUGAUUAGUUGAAAGUACAUACAGAUAAUAUUUAAGAGUAUGUAAUUUAUCAAGUGGUGUCUUAACUUUUUUUGUCAACGUAAAAUGCAGGCGUCUUUAGUAAAACCGGCAAAAUAUAGAGUGUGCACUCUUGUUAAACUGUGAAUGAUAAAUCAUUGCAACAUUCUUUUUUAUAUGUAAAGCUUGUUGAAGAAGUGAACGAGGGUUAUAUUUCAACAUCAAUGUCCCAUACACUUUCAAAUUUACAAAUACUUCAUCGUACAUGUAUUUGUUGGUUAUAAACUUUCGGAAAGUAUGUUUUAUCAACUGUCAGAGCUACACGAAAAAUGUCUUUUCCGAAAUAAGAAACGAAACUGGCUGGACAUAAGAUUUUUUUAAACUGUGCUCUUUGUAUAGUAACCUUUGUCAGUCAUACAUAGUAUGAUAGAUUAGAGUUGUACGUUGUUCUUCGCCAUGAGACUUAAAUAUGUCACGGGACGCAUAAUUUGUCAAGGAAUCAUGAAAACUGUCCACAGACACACAGAGUAAAUUUAAACAGAUGACGCUUAUCUAGUUAUCCUAUGAAAGUAAAAACAACAAGUUAUACAUGCGUCCGAAGCGCUUUUUUCGGCUGUACUUUGAUCAGGCACGCUCAAAGUCGAAUAUUUGAAAACCAAGGAUGUAUAAGAACCGAAACAGUUAAAGAUCUAUAUGACCAAACCGACAUAAAAAUAUUAAAAUCCACCUAAGGUCAAUUAUGCCUGAUGAGUUGAAACCUUAAAGGAUUAAAUGUGGUCUGUAUGAUAUUUGUGAUAUUUGUGAAAAUGGAACUUAAGUUUGUGAUAACAAAUCAAAAAUACUAACAAGCAUAUAUAUUUAAUGAGUUUAAAUACGUCACUGUUUGUGGUACCUGUGCUGUCGUUAAAGAAAGAUGUCCGUUGUUAUUCUGCGGUUUACAUGUUGUAAUGUACUAUUAUAUUAUUUAUGUAUGCCUUUCUCUCUGUUGAGUGUUCUUGCGUUUGUUUGUACUGUAUUCCUGUCACGUAGUGUUGUCAUUUUAGCGAUAUUUUUUAACAUAGCCAUAUAAGCGGGAAGUUUGGCUAGCCAUAAAACUAGGUUCAACCAACAAUUUUUUUUUAAAUGUCCUGUACCAUGUCCGGAAUAUAGCAGUUGUUAGUUGAUGUGUUUCCCGCGGUUUUAGUUUGUAACCCGGAUGUUUUUCUCUCAACCGAUUAAGGUAGAUUUCAACUCAGUCAAUCAACCUGUUUAAUUAAGAUAGAUUGAAUCACAACACACACGGUACUGUGCUUAUAUCUUUAGACUGCAUUGAAGAACUAUGAUUUUGUCGACAAGCAAUAACAACUGAAUAAAUGAUCCAUAUGCUCACUCAUUUAUUGUUUAUGUUAUAAGUUAUUCAUUGUUUGAAAUAGCACGAACCUUAUAUGUAUGUUGAUUGUAUGCAAGUUAUUCUUUAUUUGAAUCAAAAUGUUUUAUGUGUUUUCCUUUGCUUUUAGUUAUUCAUUAUGAAUUAUAAUUUUUGUUCAUUUACAUAUCAUGUAUAUAAUUAGUUCGGUAUUGCAAUAUGGACCUUCAAUUUAUAUGUUAUUGUUUAUGAGCUUUUCAUUAUAAUUGCAAAAAGUGCAUGAGUCAUUUAUUUUUUGUAUCGAAGCCUUGUUCUUUUAAUGUCUUUGUAUUUAGGAUAUUCUUUAUUUGAAUGGGGACUAUACAUGUGUACGUCAAUCAUUCAUAUUUUUUGUAUAUAAGUUAUUCUUUUUUUGAAUAGGGACCGUGCAUGUGUGUGCUUAUACCUUUAGACUGCAUUGAAGAACUAUGAUUUUCUCGACAAGCAAUAACAACUGAAUAAAUGAUCCAUAUGCUCACUCAUUUAUUGUUUAUGUUAUAAGUUAUUCAUUGUUUGAAACAGCACGAACCUUAUAUGUAUGUUGAUUGUAUGCAAGUUAUUCUUCAUUUUAAUCAAAAUGUUUUAUGUGUUUUUCUUUGCUUUUAGUUAUUCAUUAUGAAUUAUAAUUUUUGUUCAUUUACAUAUUAUGUAUAUAAUUAGUUCGGUAUUGCAGUAUUGACCUUCAAUUUAUAUGUUUUUGUGUAUGAGCUUUUCAUUAUAAUUGCAAAAAAGUGCAUGAGUUAUUUUUUUUUUUGUAUCGAAGCCUUGUUUUUUUUAAUGUCUUUGUAUUUAGGAUAUUCUUUAUUUGAAUGGGAACUAUACAUGUGUACGUCAAUCAUUCAUAUUCGUUUGUGUAUAAGAUAUUCUUUAUUUGAAUAGGGACCGUACAUGUGUAUGCAAUGCAUGAAUAUGACUGUGUAAAAAAGUUAUCCUUUAUUUGAAUGGGGACCAAAUAUUUGUAUGCAAUGCAUUCAUUUGGCUUUGUUUAUAAGUUAUUCUUUAUUUGAACGGGGACCACACAUAUGUAUGCCAUGCAUUCAUUUACAUUUGUAUAUAAGUUAUUCUGUAUUUGAACGGGGACAACACAUGUGUAUGCCAUGUAUUCAAUUGCAUAUGUAUAUAAGUUAUUCUUUUUUUGAAUUUGGGACCUUACAUGUAUAUGCAUUGCUAUCUUUUUUUUAUAAGUUUUUCAUUAUAUGCAUAAGAACCUUGCAAUUAAGUUUCUUUGUAUGUACAUGAUACCUAAUGUGAAUCUGGACCCUAUAUUGACAUUCUGUUGUAUAUAUCUUAUACAUUAUUACAAUCAGGAGCUUACAUUUUUAUGUUUAUAUCAGUACCUCCUUAUUUGAACCAAGACCUUAUAUUUUCAUUUUUAUAAAAGUUAUACUUUGUUUGAAAUAUUCAUAGAUAUAAGAAGAUGUGGUAUGAAUGCCAAUGAGACAACUCUCAAUCCAAAUCACAAUUUGUAAAAAGUCAACCAUUAUAAGUCAAAGUACGGCCUUCAACACGGAGCCUUGGCUCACACAUACAUGUUUUAUCCUUUGUUAUUAACUUGAAUAUAAUUUGAAUAAGGAUUACAUUUAUUCUCUGUUGUAUAUAACUUAUUCUCUAAUUUUUCUGCUAUUUUAAUAUAACAUUUCUUGAUCGGUGUGAGAAAAAUAUUUCUCCUCACUAGUGAAAUAUUUAUUCUCGGCAAAUGAAAUCUAAUUUUCUUGGUUUCUUCUGAAUUUCCUAUUGUGACUUCAUGAAAAAAAGGCGACCAUGCCUAAUGACGUCACAUAUAAAGAACACAACUUUCUGCAAAUCUUUUAAAAGGAAGGAUAAAAAUCAUUAAAGAAACAGAUUUCACCACUAUAACUCGUGGUUUUGUAUGGUAUUGACAAUAUUUACUUAUAGUUCCCCACUUUCAACAGUAAAAUUCUAAUUAUUUAAAAAGUUCGGCAAACCUCGCGCUAAAUAUUAAAAUUUAACUGUCUCGAGUGAAGAAAUAUCGUAACACACUUGUUGAAGUUGUGGAAUCCAUAUUUAUUUAGAAAUUUAGUAUUGUAAAUUUGUGUAUUCUGUGUGUAAUGUGCAUGAUAGUGAUUAACCUAUGUCAUUCUCAAAAUGUUCAAUAUUAUACUGUGUACCAGAGUUACCACCAUCUCGAAGAAUUUCAGACAGACAUCAAGAACAAACAAAAAUAAUAUAUGGUCACAGUUAUAUUAUUUAUACAAUGUUCAAAUAAGAUUUGUGAGCCAGUUUCUUAGAAGCACAUAUUCGACCUACGACAUGGUUCUAUGAAUGGCGUGUGCAUCUUUAGAUAACAAGCAAAAGCUCACAACUUAAACAGUCCAUGUAAAUUAUCAGAAAUACCUAAUGCUGACAGUUAUAACGGAUAUCAUGUGAAUGCUGCUUCUAUCUUACUUAACGUCUUAUUGAACAGCGGUAUACUACUGUUGCCUUUAUUUAACAAUGUAUGUGUAAAUGUAAUUUGUCCAUUUAAAAAGCUAAAAUUUCCCAAAAAAAGAAUCAAGGAGCAAGGCACAUUACACUUAUCUUCACAAGAGAGCUGAAUCUAGUGAUAUACUGGCCAUAACUUAAACAUGUCAAUGCUGUUCAUUAAACAAAUGCACGGAUGACCUACAAAUAACAUUGUUGGUUCAUUAAUUAAAUAAAUGUACAACACGAAGUUGUGGUAUCUAGUACGAGCUUUACAUACCGGUAAUCAAUACAUGCACGACAAGUAGUCAAUAAAUAUAUGCUGAAUGCUUACCACGCCCCUCUUGUUGAGAGGUGCACAUACUUCCACCUGUCCACAGUGGUUGUCGUAUGUCUUAUCUGACUGUUUAUUUGUAUUUUAAAAUUGAAUUAUUUGCAGUUUAAUUUACUCACAACUUGUAUAGACCCGAGGUGAUUAAAGCUUGUAAUCGUGUAAAGACAUCUGUCUAUCCUUGAAGGCUGUGUGUUGUCCCGGCUAAUAUUGAUACAACCCCAUCUUUUAUAAUUACCCAUCGAUGUUAUAUAGUUUAACAAAAUCAAAUGUUAUCAUUAACGGAACAAGUGAAACACAACUGCUAUAAUCCUGACUUGGUACAGGCAUUUUCCGAUAAAAAGGAUAGUUUAACCUGGAUUUAUAUCUAUGUAAACCUUCCAAUUGUAGGAUAAAGAUAUGAUCGUUUUUUUCAGUGUAUUUAAUAUUGACAUAUGUACUACUUGUAUAUGAUAUUUAUUAUUUGCUUAUGUUUAUAUAUGUUCUGUAACAUUUUCUUCCUAACUAUAAAGUAUCAACCACUAGUCAUGUUCAUUCCUUAAAAGCUUCACCAUGCUGUCAUGUUUUCUCUAUUUGGUAUACAAUUUUUUAAACGGAGUGUGUACUGUUCCGGCUAGCCGGAAGAAUAGGUAACAAUUUCUAUCUCCAGGCCAUCCGUUUGCACAUGAGCAAAUGUUCAAUAUCAAGAGCAAUGUCUUGUGACGUGGACAAUUUCGUUGGUGUGAUGAAGGAUUUCAAACGCGCAAAUGCAAAGGACGUUUGGAGAAUUGAAUAUAUAUUCAAUAUAUAAAUAAUUUUAUAUUUAAGGAUGGCUUUUUGUCCUUAUGAAAAUUACAGAGAAUUUGGUUGCUUUAAACACAAAUUUCCUCUACCUGUAUCAAUAGAGACAAAUCACAUAAAAGAAACGAUUUACAGGAAAACGACUUAAUGAGAUUAUCCUUGACUGCGUGAUUUUUAAGUUCUACUUUAAUGGAGAUCUAUGAACAUGCACUGAAAUGCCCUGACUGGGAAAAUUUACCCGGCUUGAGGGGAAACCCCUCUUUUAUUUAAAUGUUAUUCUGUUGUAGUUAUGUUCUCAAUAAAAAUUAUCAUGCUUUGCUA